UAAUACGGAGGGGACUAGCGUUGUUCGGAAUUACUGGGCGUAAAGCGUACGUAGGCGGAUCAGAAAGUAUGGGGUGAAAUCCCAGGGCUCAACCCUGGAACUGCCUCAUAAACUCCUGGUCUUGAGUUCGAGAGAGGUGAGUGGAAUUCCGAGUGUAGAGGUGAAAUUCGUAGAUAUUCGGAGGAACACCAGUGGCGAAGGCGGCUCACUGGCUCGAUACUGACGCUGAGGUACGAAAGUGUGGGGAGCAAACAGGAUUAGAUACCCUGGUAGUCCACACCGUAAACGAUGAAUGCCAGACGUCGGGUAGCAUGCUAUUCGGUGUCACACCUAACGGAUUAAGCAUUCCGCCUGGGGAGUACGGUCGCAAGACUA
rnacentral:rRNA from 1 species